AGAAGAAGAAGAAGAUAAGACCUGGCUGGCGUCGUUUCCGGAUCCUUCUUUCGCUUGAGGACGUCUGUGCGAGCAGAGUCAACUCUCUUGCAUCUCUGAGCUAAAUGGAAGUUCCUUGAAGCCUUCAGAGAGCAUUUAUCUGGCCACCUUAAUGUUAUGUAUCGGUCAUGAGUUUCUCCCCAUCUGUUACAAGAAGAAUUGGUUUGCUGUUGUGUUGGAUCACCAAGUGUUCAUUUUGAGCAAGGCAAGAUAUUAGGAAAGCAGUAAAUAUUACACACUGAGAUUGACAUGGAACAUUAUUUUUGGUGCAUUUGUUGUUUGAAUGCUGAGUAGUGUUAAAACCCAGAGGUGAAAACUGUUUGAUUUAAUAAAUGUUCAGCUGAAUAAAGAGAGAAAAUCCUUUAAACAAA